GAUGAACGCUGGCGGCGUGCCUAACACAUGCAAGUCGAGCGAGAUGAAUGUGAGUGGAGACUUCGGUCAAAGCAAUCAUUUUGAAAGCGGCGGACGGGUGAGUAACGCGUGAGCAAUCUGCCCCAUACAAAGGGAUACCCACUGGAAACGGUGAUUAAUACCUUAUAAGACCACGAAGUCGCCUGGCUUAGUGGCCAAAGAUUUAUCGGUAUGGGAUGAGCUCGCGUCUGAUUAGCUAGUUGGUGAGGUAAUGGCUCACCAAGGCGACGAUCAGCAGCCGACCUGAGAGGGUGAACGGCCACACUGGAACUGAGACACGGUCCAGACUCCUACGGGAGGCAGCAGUGGGGAAUAUUGCACAAUGGGCGCAAGCCUGAUGCAGCAACGCCGCGUGAAUGAUGAAGGCCUUCGGGUCGUAAAGUUCUGUCCUAAGGGAAGAAUACAGUGACGGUACCUUAGGAGGAAGCCCUGGCUAACUACGUGCCAGCAGCCGCCGUAA
rnacentral:rRNA from 1 species